rnacentral:rRNA from 1 species
UACGUAGGUGGCAAGCGUUGUCCGGAUUUACUGGGUGUAAAGGGCGUGCAGCCGGAGAGACAAGUCAGAUGUGAAAUCCACGGGCUCAACCCGUGAACUGCAUUUGAAACUGUUUCCCUUGAGUGUCGGAGAGGUAAUCGGAACUCCUUGUGUAGCGGUGAAAUGCGUAGAUAUAAGGAAGAACACCAGUGGCGAAGGCGGAUUACUGGACGAUAACUGACGGUGAGGCGCGAAAGCGUGGGGAGCAAACAGG